UAUCUCUGUAGAGUCUGCAUAUCAAUAAGCGGAGGAAAAGAAACUAACUAGGAUUCCCUUAGUAACGGCGAGUGAAGCGGGAAGAGCUCAAAUUUGAAAUCUUCAAGGUUCUACCUUGACGAAUUGUAGUUUAAAGAAGUGUUUUCUGUUAGAUGAGUAGCAAAAGUUCCUUGGAAUAGGGACAUCAUAGAGGGUGAGAAUCCCGUAUUUGACUUAUUCAUUCCUAGCGUUGUGAUACACUUUCAAAGAGUCGGAUUGUUUGGGAAUGCAGUCCAAAAUGGGUGGUAAAUUUCAUCUAAAGCUAAAUAUUGGCGAGAGACCGAUAGCGAACAAGUACCGUGAGGGAAAGAUGAAAAGAACUUUGAAAAGAGAGUUAAACAGUACGUGAAAUUGUCAAAAGGGAAGCGUUUGACACCAGUGUUGUUUUUCCAAAAAUCAAUUACGAAUGGCUUGAUUUUGUGUUGUAUUGACCUUAUCAGCUUUCUUCACUUUUUUUCGAGUCUUUCUUAAUGCACUUUUCGGUUAACAAGUCAACAUCAAUUUCUUUUGUUGUAAAAGAGUAUUCGGAAGGUGGCUUUCUUUUCGGAGAAAGUGUUUAUAGCCCUAUACUUCUACAAUCGGAGAGAUUGAGGUCUGCAGGCGUAGAUCCUUCGGGGUUAGAUACAUUUGUGCUAAGUUGUAGCUUUUCAUAGACAACUUGUUGACUAUGUUUAGUCAUGCGGCUUACUCGCUUAUGCUAUUUUACCUACGCUUAGGAUGUUGACGAGACUGUCGAUCUC
rnacentral:rRNA from 1 species